rnacentral:rRNA from 1 species
AUUGAACGCUGGCGGCAGGCCUAACACAUGCAAGUCGAGCGGCAGCGGGAAAGUAGCUUGCUACUUUUGCCGGCGAGCGGCGGACGGGUGAGUAAUGCCUGGGAAAUUGCCCAGUCGAGGGGGAUAACAGUUGGAAACGACUGCUAAUACCGCAUACGCCCUACGGGGGAAAGCAGGGGACCUUCGGGCCUUGCGCGAUUGGAUAUGCCCAGGUGGGAUUAGCUAGUUGGUGAGGUAAUGGCUCACCAAGGCGACGAUCCCUAGCUUGUCUGAGAGGAUGAUCAGCCACACUGGAACUGAGACACGGUCCAGACUCCUACGGGAGGCAGCAGGGGGGAAUAUUGCACAAUGGGGAAACCCUGAUGCAGCCAUGCCGCGUGUGUGAAGAAGGCCUUCGGGUUGUAAAGCACUUUCAGCGAGGAGGAAAGGUUGAUGCCUAAUACGUAUCAACUGUGACGUUACUCGCAGAAGAAGCACCGGCUAACUCCGUGCCAGCAGCCGCGGUAACAC